GACGAACGCUGGCGGCGUGCUUAACACAUGCAAGUCGAACGGUAAGGCCCUUCGGGGUACACGAGUGGCGAACGGGUGAGUAACACGUGGGUGAUCUGCCCUGCACUUCGGGAUAAGCCUGGGAAACUGGGUCUAAUACCGGAUAGGACCCUGGGAUGCAUGUCCUGGGGUGGAAAGCUUUUGCGGUGUGGGAUGGGCCCGCGGCCUAUCAGCUUGUUGGUGGGGUGAUGGCCUACCAAGGCGACGACGGGUAGCCGGCCUGAGAGGGUGACCGGCCACACUGGGACUGGGAUACGGCCCAGACUCCUACGGGAGGCAGCAGGGGGGAAUAUUGCACAAUGGGCGCAAGCCUGAUGCAGCGACGCCGCGUGAGGGAUGACGGCCUUCGGGUUGUAAACCUCUUUCAGCACCGACGAAGCGCAAGUGACGGUAGGUGCAGAAGAAGGACCGGCCAACUACGUGCCAGCCGCCGCAGUAA
rnacentral:rRNA from 1 species